GCAAAUAUAAGAAAAAAUUGUGCUUUAUUAAUCCAUGUGUGGUAUACAACAAAUUUUUGUUGUAUACCACACAUGGAUUAAUAAAGCACCAUUUUUUCUUAUAUUUGA